CCUACGGGUGGCAGCAGUGAGGAAUCUUGGUCAAUGGGCGGGAGCCUGAACCAGCCAAGCCGCGUGAGGGAAGAAGGUACAGCGUAUCGUAAACCUCUUUUGUCAGGGAACAAAGGCGGGACUAGUCCUCGGAUGAGGGUACCUGAAGAAAAAGCAUCGGCCAACUCCGUGUCAGCAGCCGCGGUAAUACGGAGGAUGCGAGCGUUAUCAGGAUUUAUUGGUUUUAAGGGGUGCGCAGGCGGACUGUUAAGUCAGCGGUAAAAGCCCGGGGCUAAACCCCGGCGAGCCGUGGAAACUGGCGGGCUGGAGUGGAAGAGAGGUGCGCGGAAUGCGCGGUGUAGCGGUGAAAUGCUUAGAUAUCGCGCAGAACCCCAGUGGCGAAGGCAGCGUACCGGCUCCACACUGACGCUGAGGCACGAAAGCGUGGGUAGCGAACAGGAUUAGAUACCCGGGUAGUC
rnacentral:rRNA from 1 species